rnacentral:misc_RNA from 1 species
UUUCCGUAGGUGAACCUGCGGAAGGAUCAUUACCGAGUUCAUGCCCUUCGGGGUAGAUCUCCCACCCUUUGUAUACCAUACCUCUGUUGCUUUGGCGGGCCGCCUAGCUACUGGCUUCGGCUGGUAAGUGCCCGCCAGAGGACCCAAAACCCUGAAUAUUAGUGUCGUCUGAGUAAAAUUUUAAUAUUUAAAACUUUCAACAACGGAUCUCUUGGCUCUG